UAAGGAAUAUUGGUCAAUGGACGCAAGUCUGAACCAGCCAUGCCGCGUGAAGGAUUAAGGUCCUCUGGAUGUAAACUUCUUUUAUCUGGGACGAAAAAAGGCGAUUCUUCGUCACUUGACGGUACCAGAUGAAUAAGCACCGGCUAACUCCGUGCCAGCAGCCGCGGUAAUACGGAGGGUGCAAGCGUUAUCCGGAUUCACUGGGUUUAAAGGGUGCGUAGGCGGGCAGGUAAGUCAGUGGUGAAAUCCUGGAGCUUAACUCCAGAAUGCCAUUGAUACUAUAUGUCUUGAAUAUGGUGGAGGUAAGCGGAAUAUGUCAUGUAGCGGUGAAAUGCAUAGAUAUGACAUAGAACACCUAUUGCGAAGGCAGCUUACUACGCCUAUAUUGACGCUGAGCACGAAAGNGUGGGGAUCAAACAGGAUUAGAUACCCUGGUAGUCCACGCCUAAACGAUGAUUACUCGACGUGUGCGAUAAACGGUACGCGUCUGAGCGAAAGCAUUAAGUAAUCCACCUGGGGAAGUACGACCGCAAGGUUGAAACUCAAAUGAAUUGACGGGGUCAUAGCUGUUUCCUG
rnacentral:rRNA from 1 species